rnacentral:rRNA from 1 species
GCCUGCGCGGAAGAUGUAACGGGGCUAAACCAUGCACCGAAGCUGCGGCAGCGACGCUUAUGCGUUGUUGGGUAGGGGAGCGUUCUGUAAGCCUGUGAAGGUGUGCUGUGAGGCAUGCUGGAGGUAUCAGAAGUGCGAAUGCUGACAUAAGUAACGAUAAAGCGGGUGAAAAGCCCGCUCGCCGGAAGACCAAGGGUUCCUGUCCAACGUUAAUCGGGGCAGGGUGAGUCGACCCCUAAGGCGAGGCCGAAAGGCGUAGUCGAUGGGAAACAGGUUAAUAUUCCUGUACUUGGUGUUACUGCGAAGGGGGGACGGAGAAGGCUAUGUUGGCCGGGCGACGGUUGUCCCGGUUUAAGCGUGUAGGCUGGUUUUCCAGGCAAAUCCGGAAAAUCAAGGCUGAGGCGUGAUGACGAGGCACUACGGUGCUGAAGCAACAAAUGCCCUGCUUCCAGGAAAAGCCUCUAAGCAUCAGGUAACAUCAAAUCGUACCCCAAACCGACACAGGUGGUCAGGUAGAGAAUACCAAGGCGCUUGAGAGAACUCGGGUGAAGGAACUAGGCAAAAUGGUGCCGUAACUUCGGGAGAAGGCACGCUGAUAUGUAGGUGAAGCGACUUGCUCGUGGAGCUGAAAUCAGUCGAAGAUACCAGCUGGCUGCAACUGUUUAUUAAAAACACAGCACUGUGCAAACACGAAAGUGGACGUAUACGGUGUGACGCCUGCCCGGUGCCGGAAGGUUAAUUGAUGGGGUCAGCGCAAGCGAAGCUCUUGAUCGAAGCCCCGGUAAACGGCGGCCGUAACUAUAACGGUCCUAAGGUAGCGAAAUUCCUUGUCGGGUAAGUUCCGACCUGCACGAAUGGCGUAAUGAUGGCCAGGCUGUCUCCACCCGAGACUCAGUGAAAUUGAACUCGCUGUGAAGAUGCAGUGUACCCGCGGCAAGACGGAAAGACCCCGUGAACCUUUACUAUAGCUUGACACUGAACAUUGAGCCUUGAUGUGUAGGAUAGGUGGGAGGCUUAGAAGUGUGGACGCCAGUCUGCAUGGAGCCGACCUUGAAAUACCACCCUUUAAUGUUUGAUGUUCUAACGUUGACCCGUAAUCCGGGUUGCGGACAGUGUCUGGUGGGUAGUUUGACUGGGGCGGUCUCCUCCUAAAGAGUAACGGAGGAGCACGAAGGUUGGCUAAUCCUGGUCGGACAUCAGGAGGUUAGUGCAAUGGCAUAAGCCAGCUUGACUGCGAGCGUGACGGCGCGAGCAGGUGCGAAAGCAGGUCAUAGUGAUCCGGUGGUUCUGAAUGGAAGGGCCAUCGCUCAACGGAUAAAAGGUACUCCGGGGAUAACAGGCUGAUACCGCCCAAGAGUUCAUAUCGACGGCGGUGUUUGGCACCUCGAUGUCGGCUCAUCACAUCCUGGGGCUGAAGUAGGUCCCAAGGGUAUGGCUGUUCGCCAUUUAAAGUGGUACGCGAGCUGGGUUUAGAACGUCGUGAGACAGUUCGGUCCCUAUCUGCCGUGGGCGCUGGAGAACUGAGGGGGGCUGCUCCUAGUACGAGAGGACCGGAGUGGACGCAUCACUGGUGUUCGGGUUGUCAUGCCAAUGGCACUGCCCGGUAGCUAAAUGCGGAAGAGAUAAGUGCUGAAAGCAUCUAAGCACGAAACUUGCCCCGAGAUGAGUUCUCCCUGACCCUUUAAGGGUCCUGAAGGAACGUUGAAGACGACGACGUUGAUAGGCCGGGUGUGUAAGCGCAGCGAUGCGUUGAGCUAACCGGUACUAAUGAACCGUGAGGCUUAACCUUACAACGCCGAAGGUGUUU